AGUGAGGCUUGCAUCAACCGUUGCUAGUCUAGCUAUUGUUCACUGCUAGAACGCAAAAUAACCACACCCACUUUAUCCGGGAUGCCAGUACUUGUUAGGUGUGGUUAUGGGAAAUAUUCUCUAAACGCAUGAUGGUGACUUUGCGGACAGGAUUAUCGUGGCUAACAGGACUGUCGUACAUCCUGUUGUUGUGGAAAUCGGUUGAGGGGCAGACACUGCAACCUCCUACGUUGGAGACAAAACCGAAGAAUAUCCAGGAUCUUAGAGAAAACACACAACUAGAGUUGAAGUGUACUUUCACAUCACAGUCUGGGCAGGGUCCAGUUAUCCCUCUAGUUGUCAUAACGCGCGCUGAUAAUACUGAAUUACCAACAUCACUGGUUCCGUUGCCAAAGACAAUCAGUGGUCUCCACAAUGUUAUUAAUAUUACUACGUUGUCGUCCAGUCAGUUUUCUGCUGAGUACACGGUGCAACUUGUAACUAGUAAAACAAUUACUAACUUGAGAUUUUCUUGUGUUCUACGACUUACAGAUGGAGGAGUACUUUCUAACACAUCGGACCCGUUCAAUGUCAAAUAUGAACCUUUGGAUGAUGCAGAUGACUUCUACAUGACGUGUGUUAGCACUAAUUCUCGAAAUUCAAGUGCAACUCUCUAUCUGAAUGCAAGUGAAAUUGUUAGAGAUCCUGGCAAUCCUACAUCAACUGUAAUGUGGAGCUGGCAAGAUAAUGGCAGGGCGAUAUCAUCAGGACAAGUCAGUGGCCGAUAUGAGGAACUACUGACUACUAUGGUAACAAGAGAUGAUGCUAUAAUCAAAAGAAUCGGUCAAUCUCAAGUGUACGAAUCUGGAGCAAUCCUUGCUUUCUAUAACAACACAAUAGGACAUACAAUGCAAAAAUUUAUUCUGUGUGUCAAAUCUGUUUCAGACGUUCCUACUAAUUUCAAAUGUCAAACGAUUGCUGUUGGCUACAAUUGUACUUGGAAUGAUCCUGUUGAUGAUGGUGGUGAAACAGUUAGCAGUUACUGCUAUGGUCACGUCAAAGGGAGAAAUGCUGGUUGUCCGACUAGUUCGAAGUGCCAGCUAAAUCCUACAACAGCUGUAGCAAAUACUCUUGACGAGGGAACUCCUUAUGUUGUUUAUGUUUAUGCUGUUAAUAGUUUGGGGAAUGGAAACUGUUCAACAGAUGUGGUGAUAACACGACUUGGUGCUCCAGAAAUUGUUACUGUGGUGACAGGACGAACAUCCCUUACAGUGAAAUGGAGUCAAGUGAAGACAUACGACAACGGCAAUGAUUUGAGAGUACAUGAGUAUUUGAUUGAGUAUAAAAUACAAGAUUCAUCGUUGGCUCAUUCACGAGUGAUGGCUAAGGGAAAUGAAACACAGAAAGACAUUCUGAACCUGCAAUCGAAUACAACAUACUCACUUCGUAUGCUUGCACGGAAUAGUAUUGGGAAUGGAAGGACAUCAGAUCCAUCUAAAGCAACGACUUUGAUUGAAGGUGAGGUAAGUCAAGUGCCAAAUGUGCAAGCUACAGCAAUAUCAUCUACACAAAUUCGUGUCACGUCGAACGAACCAGAUGCAGGCGGUGAGGUAAGUCAAGUGCCAAAUGUGCAAGCAACAGCAAUAUCAUCUACAGAAAUUCGUGUCACGUGGAACGAACCAGAUGCAGGCGGUGAAGGCUUUGCCAUCUUGUCCUAUACUGUUAAUUUAUAUCGUCAAGACAGGACAACUGCAGAGCGAUCUGUUGAAGUUAAGGGUUCAAUGAGAACAGUUACUAUAUUCAGACUUUUGGAAGAUACAUCAUACGACAUAGAAGUGAUAGCUAGUAAUGGACGAAACACAGGCCGACCAUCAGAUAGAAUUGUAGUAAGAACACAGUCGAAAACAUCAAGCUCAGACACCUUGGGAACACUUCAAUCUAUCUUUCAGCGACUCUCUGGGCUUCAUUCCUAAUCCCCUUCUGACUCCUUUACAGAAGUCAACAUUUACUGAUCUUAUGUACCGUCUUCAUACACUUUAUAUCUCAAAAGAUGACAAUCAUAAAGCAAAUUGGCGCUAGUUGGACAUCAGUUAUUCUCAUUCAUGCUAAAUAAAUUUUCACCUCUAGACGUGGCACUACAGAGUUAACAGCACCAAGGUAUUUCCUGUCUCUGCUCUCUACACAACACCCAAGCAACAGUUAUAGUUUGCCCAUUGGCUCUGCAACAAAUAAAACUUAUAGAGAAGAGAAGAAGACGAGGAAACAACAGCGCGUAUUUUACAAUUUCAAGCAAUUUACUACAAGACCGACAAAAUUAGUGAGACAAACAGCAGAUUAAGGCAAAGAAAUGCAAGUUUAACUGUAUGCUUUAGCGAGCAUAUAAAUUAGUCAAGAAUUGUUUAUUGUACUCGACAAAAACAAGUAAAAAAGUAUACAAACAAUGUGUUUAUGCAGUGUGUUGUUAUAAAAUUAAUUAAUGAAU